ensembl:lncRNA
GGCAGCCCAUUCCACUGCCUGACCACUCUCUGACUCAAAUGUGUCAGAGGAUUUCUACAAAAUCCAGGGGCAACUCUCAGCUGAAGGCAUUUACAUGUGCUGCUAUUCAUCUGCCACCUGUACAGAAGUGCAAAAAUUUGCAAAAAUGUGAAUACAGCUCAAAAGAGACCUUAAGUAAAUGAAUAGGAUAUACAAAUGAUUUGCAGCUUGCCAGUAUUUUCCUGUCAAAGCAAAGAACAUCACCUGUUGUGACAACAUAUUUGCCAACAGUAGGUUUACCCACUAACUGAUGCACAUCUACAAGUUUUAUCCCAAAAACCCUAAAGCUUUCAACAAACUGCCUACACAGAAGCUUCUCCCACCGCACUGACAUGAAGCCACUUCCAUGAUUAAUAUUAAAAGCUGCUGGAAACUCCAGCAUGAGCAUAAAUUCAUUAAAAGUCAUGAAAGUCUCAGAUACUGCAAAAACAAGAACAGUAAUACAGUAUUAUGUAAGUGUAUAUAUGAGAUAUGCUAUAGUUUUAUAGAUGUAAUAUAGUGACACAACUGUGUUUUAAGACUAGCAUAUCUUCGUACUGUCAUUUACUUAAAUCUUUGUGUGCUACAUAAAAAUAUUUGAUCUUUCUAAGUAGAACUCUGCGACUAUUUUUCUCACAACCAGCAUGUUUUUAUUUUACAGGGACAUCACCCUGGAAUUUUGAGUUAUCUGACCCUUGUUAUAAAUUGGUUCUUUGCACAUUUGAGGCAUGAUCCACACCAAACCUAUCCAGAUUUUCUCUUCUGCCUUAGCCAUACCCAUCACAGUAUUAGAAAAUAUAAGAGCCUAUGCUUAAGGAAAAUAUAGAGUGUACGAAUGAAAAGUCUAACUGAAGAGUUAGAAAACAGACUAUCAGUAAUCACAGAGGUAGCAGCUCUGGAUUAAUAAUCUGCUCAUCAAAAUACCAGGCAGAUAUACUACCUGUAACUGCCAUGAUGUGUACAAAAUGGGCUCACAGUUAAAUAAGCCGCAGAAGAAAUCUUCCAGCAGCUGGAUGUACAUUUUCCACUGGGGCAUUGCUAUUUCCAUCAGAUCUGUAGAAAGAAGAUGAUCCUGGAUGCCAACAGCAUACUGCACUGGUUCCUGGCAGCACAAUAACUGUGCUCUCGGGACCUGAUCCCAUAGUACGAGGAGAAGCUACAAAUGGAUUUCGUGGAGACCAUGCUGUACCAAGCCUUGACAACAUAACACAUACAGAGGCAGAGUUAAAGAUGUCACAGUGAUGAUAACUAAAAAAUCACUUUGAAUGGUAUGCAGGAUUUUUUGUGAGGGUGUUGUCCAAGCUAGCUGUUCACCAGCUGUACUGAGAACACGCCGAUGGGAGAGAUUCAUCUGUGGUGAUCAAGGGAGCUUGUACAAGCAAUGCAUCCACAGACUGCUGAGGCAGCAUGAAGCUAACUGUCCUCCCAAGCAAAAGAAAUGAUAACAGCAUGGCAACACACUUUAUGGUGUCAUACGCUCCCUAAAGCAUGCAACCUCUGUUUCAUUGACUAGCCCUGGCCAAAACUGCCCACGGCUGCUACUCUUAGCUAAUCUUGGCCAAGUGCCCUUCUGGACUGCAGGGGCUGCUUUUGCAUAGCUGAUCUGCACGUGGCAGAGGAGAAGCCAGUCUCAGUAGAGAAGGAUGACAGUAUCUAUCCACAAAAGAAAGGGCUUGACAAACACUGUCCCCUUAGCAACCAGUAAUGCUGUAUCCAUAGCCAGACCUCUUAGGGUCUGUUCUCUGCAAGGAACUUGCAUCUUCAACCAGUUUAAUUUUUGCCUAAUUGCAGUGACUUAUUGUGUGCAUCCUCCCAUGCAGCUGAGAGCUUGAGCCCAGCAAAUUUAGCACCCAGCUAAAUGUUUCUUCUACUGAUAAAAGCUUAACUGUGCCUUUUAAUUAUUCUGAAUAUACCUAAGAUACAUAGCAACAUGUGAUCUACUCUGAUUUCUGGACUUAGCAGAGCUGUUCUUAAUUCUGUUUCUGAACAUAUGUUCUGUUCUUACUUUUAAAAUAACUAGCAGAAUAUGUCAUUCAUUCUGAUGGCACCACAAGUAUUCUAUUGAUAUAUUAAUGACUCUACUGAAUUUAAAGAAUUUUUUUUCUAAAAAUAUAUGCAACCUGCAAAAUUGUUAAAAGUCACUGUUAAAUGUGAAACCCAUUUAAAUAUAUUUCAUGAUUA